GGUCGCGGCAGUCGGUCCGCCCCGCGAGGGGUGUGCACCAGGCUGCUGCAGCCAUCCUCGCGGAGAGCGCAUCUGUCAUUAAGUUGUCGGGUGCGGGAUCCGCGUCUUUUACUGUGAGCAAAAUAGAGUGUUCAAAGCAGGCUUAGGCCGUUGAAUACAUUAGCAUGGAAUAAUAAGAUAGGACCUUGGUCUAUUUUGUUGGUUUGUACUCCAAGGUA
rnacentral:rRNA from 1 species